UUGAKGKUUKAUCCCUGGCUCAGGACGAACGCUGYGGCGUGCUUAAYACAUGCAAGUCGAACGAUGAACUCUUUCRGGAGGGGGAUUAGUGGCGAACGRGKGAGUUARCACRUGKGCAAUMUGCCGWGCACUCUGGGACAAGCCUGGAAACGGGUCUAAUAYCMGGAUACUGACCCGCUUGGGCAUCCAAGCGGUUCGAAAGCUCCGGCGGUGCAGGAUGAGCMCGCGGCCUAUCAGCUWGUUGGUGAGGUAAUGGCUCACCAAGGCGACGACKGGUAGCCGGCCUGAGAGGGCGACCGGCCACACUGGGACUGAGACACGGCCCAGACUCUUAYGGGAGGCAGCAGUGGGAAUAUUACUGCAGUCGACGAUGACCUCCGUCGGGAGGGGUUAGUGGCGAACGGGUGAGCAUUCCGGUGGUAAACCUCUUUCAGCAGGGAAGAAGCGAUGGUGACGGUACCUGCAGAAG
rnacentral:rRNA from 16 species